rnacentral:rRNA from 1 species
CUGCAGCCCGAGUGGUGAUCGAUUUUAUUGAGCCUAAAGCGUCCGUAGCCGGACUAGUAAACCCUUGGGUAAAUUGGGCAGCUUAACUGUCCAAAUUCCGAAAAAACUGCUAGUCUUGGGACCGGGAGAGGUCAGAGGUACUCAAGGGGUAGGGGCUAAAUCCUGUAAUCCUUUGGGGACCACCAGUGGCGAAGGCGUCUGACUAGAACGGAUCCGACGGUAAGGGACGAAACCCUGGGGCGCGAACCGGAUUAGAUACCCGAGUAGUCC